rnacentral:lncRNA from 1 species
UGCCAUGAGUAUCGGAAUGUUUAUCUUGUCGGAUAGUUGACGCUAAUCAUUAAUCCUGAAAAUUCGAACGGUUAGAAAUACACAAUUAAUUCAUUUAAAACGUACAACUCCUACAGAUCUCGAUUGUGACUUGGUUCAAUCAGCCUUACACUACUUCAAACAUAACUCGAUCCAAUCCGACCUCUCACCAUUUCAAANGACUUGGUUCAAUCAGCCUUACACUACUUCAAACAUAACUCGAUCCAAUCCGACCUCUCACCAUUUCAAACGUGACUCGGCCCAAUCCGACCUCCCGCCACAAGGCAAAAUGCUGGUCUUUUUAGGCCAACAUAUCUUCCAUUGUAACAGCUCAAUCAACGGAAACUUCGAUUCAUAUUCGAGUUAUGGAAACUUCGAUUCUAAUUCACUUCGAUC